rnacentral:lncRNA from 1 species
AGUGCACUCUGCCAGACCCUGCUGAACAGACUGCACCAGAGGGAAAUUUCCGACUCGAGAGGUUGCUCCUCAUCAUUUGUUCCCGCCAAGCUUUGGUGUGAAGACUGCUUUCUAGGCUAAGACAUCUCCCACGAUGUUCCUAUUGCAAGGUGCCCAGAUGCUGCAGAUGCUGGAGAAUUCCUUGAGGAAGAGCCUUCCUACAUCCUUGAAGGUGACAAUGAAAACUUCUGAGAACGAAGAGGAAGCGGGACCAAUAUUGUUGAGCACUUAUUCUGUGCCAGGCAUCAUUGCAUGUUUUCUCUCAUUUACUUUGCAUAAGCUCUCUACAAAGAUACUCGCUGUUAUGGCCAUGUCACCAACGAGAGGGUGGAUGCUGAGGGAAGUGAUUUGCCUAACACCCCAUAAAUAGUGAGUUGCAAUACUGUGGUGUGAAGAUAGGAAUGCCUGAGACCUCACACUGGUUUGGGCUGCAAGGUGAUUCAAAAAGUAUUCCCUGCCCCCUUUCCCAGAAACAUUCCAUAACAGCACUGGCAAUUUGCCCCAGAGGUCUCCUGCAAAGUUAGCUACAACUACAUGUUCGUUUUUAAUCUGUUUUCCCUAAAAGAACAUUUGCCAGGUGAGAGGUUGACCAUCACAGGCUGUCUUUGAAAUUAAAAAUAACUCAAUUUCUAUUUGACUUAAAUUUUCCAAUUGUUCUGCACUUAUUGCACUCAGGCUAUUUUGCGGCUGACUCUGUACUCUUUCUGUUAACCUGGUACAAAUGAUCAGAAAUCUCAGGAUCAAGUAAGACAUACACACAGGAGUUCCUGUUGUGGCUCAGUGGGUUAAGAAUCUGACUAGUAUCCUGAGGAUUAGGGUUUGAGCCCCAGCCUCUCUCAGUGGGUUAAGGACCUGGUGUUGCCAUGAGCUGUAGGCUAGCUUGUAUCUGGUGUUGCUGUGGUUGUGGUAUAGGCUCGCAGCUACAGCUCUGAUUUGACCCCUAGCUUGGGAACUUCCACAUGCUGCAGUGGGGCUGUAAAAAAGACAAAAAAAAAAAAAAAAAAAGACAUACACAUAAAUGCCCACAUCCAGAACUGUUGAAGUGUAACACUGAUGACAGAAUCAAGUUUUUGAUUGUGUUUUUCUUUAGCAACCAAAGAGAUGGGAUCCAUCCCAAUGGAAUUUAGGUAUGACUCCUUGUGUGUGUGUGUGCGUGUGUAUGUGUGUGUGCAAGUGCGUGUAGAACAAUCGUUUCUCUCUGAAACUUAUUUUAGAUAGACACAGAAACUAGGUUUCUACUGAUUUACAAGACAUUCCUAUAAGAUGCAAACAUUCUAGGAAAGAUCAUCGCCUUCUCCUCCCUCACUCCCUAGUACAUUUGUUACUCUCUUCUUUCAGCAUAAAGGAGAAAGAUGUUAGUGUUAGGGUAUUGAUAGACAUAUGGCUUCCUUUUCAUGUGUUAGAAAUAGACUAAUGAAACAACCUGCCCUGUUCUUUAACUACUGCCCCCAAGUAACCUCACAUCAACCACUAUAAAACUGUCAAGUCACUCACUUUGGUAGAUCCCACUGACAGUCAUCUCUGUUACCUAACAUUGGUGAACUGUCUUCGCUUGCUAGUCCUUAAGAACCAGCCAACCGCUCGGAGAAACGGUCAUUUUUCUUGGAGGUUACGUCAGGGAUACCCUCUAUGAACACUUGCCUAAGAUGUGUUUAUGGUGAGCAGCUGUUUUUGAAAAUUCGUCAGGCUUGAAGUUUUUCUUCCAUGAUCCAUUGUGUCGGAUUUUGUGAUUUAAACUUCUCUUAACUCCUUGUCUUAAAUAGACCCCAAACACUUUGGGAAAACUAUCGGAGGUUCCCAAGUGUUCUUUCUUGGAGUAUCUCUGUAGCAGUAAGAUAAGUGGCCCUCUUGGCUCCUCAGCUCUUAUGGAGAAAUAACAUCGGUGGUAUACUAAAGAUGUACAGUUUACCUAGGUUGGUAGCUAGAAUAGUUGUUUGCCACUUACUUUUUUAAAAUAAGAUUUUUAGUCUUUCUAUUAUAGUUGAUUGGCAGUGUUCCGUCAAGUUUGGCUGUACAGCAAAGUGACCCAGAAAAACAUGUACACAUUCUUUUCCUUGCGUAAUCCUCAAGCAUGUUCCAUCACAAAUGACUAGAUUAGUUCCCUGUGCUACACAGCAGGAUCUCAUUGCUUAUCCACUCCAAAUGCAAUGGUUUGCAUCACGACUCCAAACUCCCAGUCCAUCCCACUCCCUCCCCUUCAGGCUUGGCUCCAGGUCCAUGAGUUUGCUUCUUUUCUGUGGAUAGGAUCAUUUGUGCUGUUCAUUAGAUUCCAGGUGUAAGUGAUAUCAUAUGGUAUUUGCCUGUCUCUUUCUGACUGACUUAGUAUGAGAGUCUCUGGUUCCAUGCAUGUUCAUGCAAAUGGCAUUGGUUUGCCAGUUACUUUUCUUUUUUAAAAUACUCAAUGAAUUUAUUACGUAUAUAGUUGUGUAAUGAUCAUCACAACCCAAUUUUAUAGCAUUUCCAUCCCAAACCCCAAGCUCAUCCCCCCACCCCCCAACCUGUCUCCAUUGGAAACUCUAAGUUUUCCCAAGUCUGUGAGUCAGCAUCUGCUCUGCAAAGAAGUUCAUUGUGUCCUUUUUUUAAGAUUCCACAUGUAGGUGAUAGCAUAUACUGUUGGUGUCUCACCGUCUGGCUAACUUCACUCAGAAUGAUAAUUUCGAAGUCCAUCCAUGUUGCUACAAAUGCUGUUAUUUCUUUCCUCUGAAUGGCUGAGUAAUACUCCCUUGGGUACAUGCACCACAGCUUCCUUGUCCAUUCCUCUGUCGAUGAACACCUAGGUUAUUUCCAUGUCUUGACUACUGCAAACAGUGCUGCAAAGAACACUGGAGCACAUGUGUCUUUUUGAGUCAUGGCUUUCUCUGGAUAGAUGCCCAAGAGUGGGAUUGCUGGAUCAAAUGGUAGUUCUAUGUUUAGCUUUCUGUGGAAUCUCCACACUAUUUUCCACAGUGGUUGCACCAAUUUACAAUCCCACCAACAGUGUGAUAGGGUUCCUUUUUCUCCACACCCUCUCCAGCACUUACUGUUUGUAGACUUUUGGAUGAUGGCCAUUCUGGCUGGUGUAAGGUGAUACCUCAUAGUGGCUGUGAUUUGCAUUUCUCUACUAAUGAGUGAUGUUGAACAUGUUUUCACGUGUUUUUUGGCCAUCUGUAUGUCUUCUCUGGAGAAUUGUCUGUUUAGAUCUCCUGCCCAUUUUUGGAUGGAGUUGUUUUUGUUUUUUGGUUUUUGGUACUCGGUGGUAGGAGGUAUUUAUAAACUUUGGAGAUUAAUCCCUUGUCAGUUGACUCAUUUGCAAAGAUUUUCUCCCAUUCUGUGGGUUGUCUUUUUGUUUUGCUUAGGGUUUCCUUUGCUGUGCAGAAACUUUUAAUCUUAAUUAAGUCCCAUUUGUUUAUUCAUGUUGUCACUGUCGUUACUCUAAGAGCUGGAUCUGAGAAGAUGUUGCUGUCAUUUAUGUCGGAGAGUGUUUGGCCUAUGUUUUCCUCUAACAGUUUUAGAGUAUCUGGUCUUGUAUAUAGGUCUUGAAUCCAUUUUGAGCUUAUUUUUGUCCAAAUUGUUAUCCACAUUCCACCAAAGGGCACCCCCACUUCACAAAGACAGUUCUACCUCUAUUCCUAAUAAGUACAGAAGUAUGUGCAAGAUUUCAGGAAUAGAAAGGCAUUCUGGUGCUUCUAGAGAGUUUGAAAAGAGGAGUUCCAGCAGCUCCGAGGUGGCAAGAGAAGCAAUUUCCAGCCACUCAGCUCUGCAAAGGCUCUCACCGCGCUGCCCCCAUCACCCCAGGACUCCCCACCACAAGCUCUCUGCCAGUUACUUUUAAUGGAGGUGUGACCUAGAACUCAAUAACGUGCUUUGGGUCUCAGUUGAGAAAUCAUCCAGUGGUUCUUCUAAGUGUGGGAUCCAAAAUACAUUUUAUUGUGUGUGUCAACCCUAAUUGAUUCCAUUUAGAUAGCUGCCUGACUCCCUGUGUUCUGAGUUCAGCAGAGG